AGGAGUGUAGCUCAAUUGGUAGAGCACCGGUCUCCAAAACCGGGGGUCGUAGGUUCGAGCCCUACCACUCCUGCCA
rnacentral:tRNA from 5 species